UACCAUGUAUCCGUAACGGGCUUUAUGGUAGCGUGAUUUUUUGUACUUUAUAGGAGUAAUAUAGUGGCCCGUAUAGCUGGCAUUAAUGUUCCUGAU
rnacentral:sRNA from 1 species